ensembl:lncRNA
CAGGGAGUACCGGUACAGAGUUAAUGUGGAGGCUAUAUACAGGAGUACUGGUACAGAGUCAAUGUGGAGGCUAUAUACAGGGGGAACCGGUACAGAGUCAAUGUGGAGGCUAUAUACAGGGGGUACCGGUACAGAGUCAAUGUGGAGGCUAUUUACAGGGGGUACCGGUACAGAGUCAAUGUGGAGGCUAUAUACAUGGGGUACCGGUACAGAGUCAAUGUGGAGGCUAUAUACAGGGGGUACCGGUACAGAGUCAAUGUGGAGGCUAUAUACAGG